UGGGUGUUCCUAGGUGUGCAGAUUUGUUAAAUGCUCCAUCCUCCUCUCCCUACCUCGCCAUCAUGUAACAACCGCGCCGAGCUUGUCCUGUGGUCGACGAUCACCGCGAGCAGGUGAGUCUCUCCUUCUCCCUCCCAGUCCCUCGGCGUGCCCAACCCUUCCCUUACCGAGCAGCCCCUGCAGAUCCUCGCGUUGCCGUGCUCUGAGCAGCCAUGGCCGGUGCUGCCCCCGUCGUACAGCCACGCCGGAGCUCCAACGCGUCCCCAGGGGCGGCAGCUCGCCGCCCUGCCCCCUGCGCUUGCGAGCCCCGCGACUCAACUGGCCAGGGCACGGCCCCUGGGACACGGCAAUAGGCCACAGCUGAGCCCCAUUGCGGCCUCGCCCAGAGCCUCUGGUUGUGGCGUCCAGUGGGCACACACCCCUGUGGUGCCCCAGUGCGGCGGCGCGACCAGCCAGCCCCGUUGUCGUCAUGCUCGUGUCCUCGUCGUCGCUCGUGCGGUGCGUCGUGCACUCAAUAUGUCGUCGUACCUCGCCUCGUCUCGCCGUCGUCGCGAGAAUGCGAUCCAUCUCCAAGCUUCGAGGGAUCGAAGAUCAAGUGUUGGCGACCAUGUGAUCAAGCUCUCUGAGUUCUAUGAGGCUGAAGAUCCUGAGCAUCUGUUUGGUGAAGGUUGUCCACAUCGCAACCACUGCUCAGGAGAAGAUGAAGCCGUGGAAGGAGACUUCCAGGAGUUCCAAGACUACGAUGAGUUCUAGGUGUGGGUUGGCGGCAACCCCCAGUCAGCUGCCUGUGAAGGCCCUAUCUUUACUGCGUUUCGCUUAGCACUUUGAUUUACCCGUUGAGUUGAUGACUAUGUGGAUGUCUCUGACAUCGUGAUGUAAUAAGUUAAUACUCUUUUAUGUUAUUAUUCGAGCACUA